rnacentral:misc_RNA from 1 species
CCGAGUUUACAACUCCCAAACCCAAUGUGAACGUUACCAAACUGUUGCCUCGGCGGGAUCUCUGCCCCGGGUGCGUCGCAGCCCCGGACCAAGGCGCCCGCCGGAGGCCAACCAAAACUCUUAUUGUAUACCCCCUCGCGGGUUUUUUUAUAAUCUGAGCCUUCUCGGCGCCUCUCGUAGGCGUUUCGAAAUGAAUCA